AUGCAAGUCGAACGAUUAAAGCUCUCUUCGGAGAGUGCAUAAAGUGGCGCACGGGUGAGUAACACGUAAGUAAUCUACCCUCGGGUGGGGAAUAACGUCCGGAAACGGACGCUAAUACCGCAUAAUGCAGCGGCACCAUAUGGUGACAGUUGUUAAAGGAGAAAUUCGCCUGGGGAGGAGCUUGCGGCAGAUUAGCUUGUUGGUAGGGUAACGGCCUACCAAGGCGACGAUCUGUAGCCGGUCUAAGAGGACGGUCGGUCACACUGACACUGAAUAACGGGUCAGACUCCUACGGGAGGCAGCAGUCGGGAAUUUUGGGCAAUGGGCGAAAGCCUGACCCAGCAACGCCGCGUGAAGGAUGAAGUAUUUCGGUAUGUAAACUUCGUAAGAAUGGGAAGAAACAAAUGACGGUACCAUUUGUAAGCCCCGGCUAACUACGUGCCAGCAGCCGCGGUAAUACGUAGGGGGCAAGCGUUGUUCGGAUUUACUGGGCGUAAAGGGCGCGUAGGCGGCGGGACAAGUCACUUGUGAAAUCUCUGAGCUUAACUCAGAACGGCCAAGUGAUACUGUCUUGCUAGAGUGCAGAAGGGGCAAUCGGAAUUCUUGGUGUAGCGGUGAAAUGCGUAGAUAUCAAGAGGAACACCUGAGGCGAAGGCGGGUUGCUAGGCUGACACUGACGCUGAGGCGCGAAAGCUAGGGGAGCAAACGGGAUUAGAUACCCCGGUAGUCCUAG
rnacentral:rRNA from 1 species